rnacentral:rRNA from 1 species
ACCUGCCCUAUGNNNAAUUNNNAUUAAAUGGCUGCGGUAUAUUGACCGUGCAAAGGUAGCAUAAUAAUUAGUUUUUUAAUUGGGAACUGGAAUGAAUGGUUGGACGAGAAAAAUACUGUCUCAAUUUAAUUUUAAUUAGAAUUUUAUUUUUAAGUUAAAAAGCUUAAAUGAUUUUAAAAGACGAGAAGACCCUAUAGAGUUUUAUAUAAAAUUNAUAUAUUUNAGAAAUAUAAAGNNAAUAUAUUUUUUNAUUUAUUUGNGUUNUUAUAUUUAGUUGGGGUGAUUGAAAAAUUAAUAAAACUUUUUUUANNNNAUUAUUAACAUAUAUAUAUGAUUAAUUGAUCCAUNUAUUUAUGAUUAUAAGAUU